UAUAGUCCGCUAAAAUUUACCACCAUAUCUAUUAGCACCCCUCUCCCUCUGUAUACAUCGCUGGAACCCUAAUCACUUUGGCGGACUGUAACAAAAGUGGACUUCUCAAACGGUGGAUUCUUUCUACUUGUUGAUCAUCAUUCCCUUCUCACAGGUUAGGGUUUCUCAUGAAUCAUCGCUUUUCUCCUCAUUUUCAUGGGUAUCCGUAUGGAUUUUCAUGAUUUCAUGGGUAUCCGUAAGGAUGUAAUGGUGUUCAUGAGUGGUAAUUAGUUUUAACGACUGUAUUUCUUUAAUGCAUGUGCUGUUAUGUUCCUCUUUCGUUAAUGAUGUUCAUCUGACGAUCCAUUUUCUUCUUAUUGCAUUUAUUGGAUAUCUUUGGUGGCGUAGUGUAUGCAUUCUAGGUGUUCGAUGAAUUGUCUCACAGAAUUAUUGCUAUAAGGAUCUCAUAGAUGAGUAACAGUUGUGUUUGUUUCAUCUGAUUAUCACAUAGCAAUACGAUAAGUUGAUGUGUUUAGUAUCAUCUGUUCUUGCAGAGUUUGUGUUCUUAUAACUUUCCACUCUAAUGGUAGUUUGUUUGCGAAGUGUGCUGAUCGAAGCUACUUAGCCUAUCACAUAAGCAGUUUUAAUGCUAAUUAAGCUGGUAGUUUCAUUCUGUUGUUGCCUCUCGGUCUCUUUUUAUUUUAGUGUUUGUAUAUGGCCAUUUUAGUGCCUUUGAUUUCGGACGUUGUCUUUCUCAUUUCCACCAACUUUGACAACAUAUAUUGAGUGGUUAAGAUAAUAAGAAACUACCUGGUUACUUGUAACAAUGUCAAGUUGUUUGGGGAGUUCUUUAGUAAUAAUGAUGACCAGUGGCGGAACCAGAAAAAACUUUUAGGGGUAUCCUAAUUUUUUUUUAACCUAAAUUCAUAAAACGGAUACAUUUUUUUACUGUCCUUUCAGGCAGUGACAUAUAUUAUUUAACUAAUAUUUUGUUUCUAUAUUAACAAUCGUGUGUCGACUUCUAUUUUUUUAACAAUCAAUGUAGUAUAAACACAAAAACGAUGACCGAAUACUUUUAACAUUACUUAAAUUGCUAUUUAAGGAUUUGAUAUUUUUUUAUUAAAAAGUUAGAAAAAGGAUAGAUCUAUACAAUACAUAAUUUAUUUAAACAUUCCACAGAUAAAACAGUUUACUAAAAAUUUAAUAAUCAGUAAA
rnacentral:lncRNA from 1 species